GAUGAACGCUAGCGGCAGGCUUAACACAUGCAAGUCGAGGGGCAGCGAGGGUAGCAAUACCUGUCGGCGACCGGCGGAAGGGUGAGUAACGCGUGAGCAACAUACCCGUAUCAGUGGGAUAAUACAGGGAAACUUGUUCUAAUAUCGCAUAAUAUUAUUCAGAGGCAUCUUUGGAUAAUUAAAGUUACGGCGGAUACGGAAUGGCUCGCGUGACAUUAGCUAGAUGGUAGGGUAAUGGCCUACCAUGGCGAUGAUGUCUAGGGGUUCUGAGAGGGAGGUCCCCCACACUGGAACUGAGACACGGUCCAGACUCCUACGGGAGCAGCAGUGAGGAAUAUUGGACAAUGGAUGGAAAUCUGAUCCAGCCAUGCCGCGUGCAGGAAGGCGGCCCUAUGGGUUGUAAAACUGCUUUUUGACGGGAGCAAAUAAGGUCUACGAGUAGAUUGAUGAGAGUACUGUACGAAAUAAGCAUCGGCUAACUCCG
rnacentral:rRNA from 1 species